CAUUAGUCAUUAGGGAAACGCAAAUCAAAACCACCCUGAGAUGCCACUUCACACCAACUAAGAUGUCCAUAAACAUGGUAACUAGUAAGUGCUGGUGAGGAAGUGGAGAAACUGGAACCCUUGUACAUUACGGAUGGGGUUGUAGAAGGGUACAGCCUCUACGGAAAACCGUUUAGUGGUUGCUCAAAAAGUUAAAGAUGGGAUUUCUGUAAAGCCCAGCAAUUCUAUUUCUAGGUAUAUACCCAAAAGAAUUGAAAACAGGCACUCACUAACCUGUACAUAAAUGUUUAUAGCAGCAGUAUUUACAAUAACGAAAGACAGAAACAACCCAAAUGCCCAUCCAUGUAUGAACAGAGAAAUCGAAUGUGGCAUAUCCAUACAAUGGAAUAUCAUUCAGUCAUAAGAAGGAAUGAAAUACGGAUACGUGCUACAAGGUGGGUGAACCUUGAAAACAUGAUGUCAAGUAAAUAAGCCAGACGCAAAUGGUCACAAACGAGCAUCCCUUGGGAGGAAGAACUAUGUCCUGACUCAGAGAUUCGCCCCAGGUGCUGAGGACGUGUGGGCUCGGACCUCCUGCUUCACAGCCUGCCACUGUCAAGACUUAUGGCCGCCUCAUCUCUCCCCCUCACUGGGUCUGGCUACAUCACUUAUCUCCCUGACGCUGACCUGCCAGCAGCUGCAGGAGGCUCUCUCCGGUAUGUCGGGUCCUUGUCUGCUUCGCCUCCAGGGUCCUGACAAUAUUUGACCCAGUGUCUCCUAUAUAUGCC